rnacentral:rRNA from 1 species
UACGAAGGGCGCAAACGUUGCUCGGAAUUAUUGGGCGUAAAGCGCACGUAGGCGGCUUAGCAAGUCGAAUGUGAAAUCCCUCGGCUCAACCAAGGAAGUGCAUCCGAAACUGCUGAGCUUGAGUACUUAAGAGGAUCGCGGAGUUCCCGGUGUAGAGGUGAAAUUCGUAGAUAUCGGGAGGAACACCAGUGGCGAAGGCGGCGAUCUGGGAAGAUACUGACGCUGAGGUGCGAAAGCGUGGGGAGCAAACAGG